AACGUAGGUGGCAAGCGUUAUCCGGAUUUACUGGGCGUAAAGGGUGUGUAGGCGGCUUCGUAAGUUCGGUGUGAAAUCUCCUGGCUUAACUGGGAGGGUGCGCCGAAAACUGCGGAGCUGGAGCGCAGGAGAGGAAAGCAGAAUUCCUGGUGUAGCGGUGAAAUGCGUAGAUAUCAAGAGGAAUACCUGAGGUGAAGACGGGUUGCUAGGCCGACACUGACGCUGAGUGCGCGAAAGCCAGGGGAGCAAACGGG
rnacentral:rRNA from 1 species